UUUACAGGGUCAUCAAAACACCAGGGCAGGUUAAACCUACACAAAACACCACGGCAGGUUAAACCUACACAAAACACCACGACAGGGUUAAACCUACACAAAACACCACGGCAGGUUAAACCUACACAAAACACCACGGCAGGGUUAAACCUACACAAAACACCACGGCAGGUUAAACCUACACAAAACACCACGGCAGGUUAAACCUACAC